AGUAAAAGUCGUAACAAGGUCUCCGUUGGUGAACCAGCGGAGGGAUCAUUACAGAGUUACUUAAAAACUCCCAACCCUUUGUGAACUUACCACUGUUGCCUCGGCGUUGGCUGCGGCUACCCUAUAGUUACCCUGUAGGCAACUACCCUGUACCUAUCUCGUAGUUCGCUUAGGCCCGUCGGAGGACCACUGAACUCUUGUUUUUACUGUGAAUAUCUGAAUGCUUCAACUGAAAUAAGUUAAAACUUUCAACAACGGAUCUCUUGGUUCUGGCAUCGAUGAAGAACGCAGCGAAAUGCGAUAAGUAAUGUGAAUUGCAGAAUUCAGUGAAUCAUCGAAUCUUUGAACGCACAUUGCGCCCAUUAGUAUUCUAGUGGGCAUGCCUAUUCGAGCGUCAUUUCAACCCUUAAGCCCCUGUUGCUUAGCGUUGGGAGACUGAGCCCCCCCCCCGGGGGCCCAGCUCCUUAAAAGUAGUGGCGAUGUCGUGGCACAUCCUAAGCGUAGUAAUUUUCUUCUCGCUUCUGUGAUUGUCGCGGCUAUCUGCCGUAAAACCCCCUAUAUUUCUAGUGGUUGACCUCGGAUUAGGUAGGAAUACCCGCUGAACUUAAGCAUAUCAAUAAGCGGAGGAAAAGAAACCAACAGGGAUUGCCUCAGUAACG
rnacentral:rRNA from 1 species